rnacentral:tRNA from 1 species
CAGAGAAUAGUUUAAUAUAAAAUAUUAAUUUUGGAGAUUAAAGUUAGGAAUUCAUCUUUUCUCUGA